rnacentral:lncRNA from 1 species
GGAAUAGCAACUGUUUUUGAAGGACUCAUCUUCAUUUGACCCUGGCUUAGAGUUGGUCUAUGAGGGCUGUUUCCUGGGGAUUUCCACCUGAACUGCAAAGAGCCCUGGCCCCAGCUCAUGCCACGUGGAGGAUGGAGACAGCUGUAUUUCUUGUGUGACUUUCUCUGUGUGGCAAGAGGUAGAUGAAGGGAGUCAAGGACAGAGCAAGUCUCUCUACAAUCCUGAGCAUCAACAUAGCAACAGAAGCAUUUUGUGACUUGUGUUCCUAAGGGGGUGCUGACAGAUAUCUCCAGCUGGCUCUGCACACACUGUAUUCUGGGAGGACCUUCUGGAGAAGGUGCUUGGAGCCCUAGAAGGUAAGAUACAAUGAGAAUCCCAUGGAAGCUGCUGAUUUGCCUUGGCUAAUCAGCAAGUAGAAAUAAGUGUUAGGAAGAAAAUAAAUAACAGGCAGAGAGAGAG